GUAGGAAUUGAGGAGCAACCCCGAAUCCAGAAUACCCACCCUACCUUCUCUUCCUCCAAACAGCGCUUACCAUUCCCUCGCAAUCAAUGUCGGGAGGAAGGAAUAGAGUAGAACUGUAGAAGCGAAGGGGGUUUCUUCGCUUAUCCAUCAGGUUUCAUAGAAUUGCGUUCCUCACUCGACAGCAUCAUCACAUCAAAAACUUCUUUUGCCUCUGCCAGCAUAUUGCCGGACGCACUUCGCAAAGAGGAGAUGCCGACCGAGGCAAAAGAAGUUUUUGGUCUGAUAGUUAUGGCCGUAACUUUGGAUUUACGUUUCAACGUCUGUUUACGCGUGCUGUUGGCUUUGGCUAUGAGUCUACGACUACGACCGCUCGUUUCCACGUUGGAUUUACGUCUCAAGAUUGCAAGAACCCAGCUGAUAUCUGAAUUUAUUGCUACAAUUGGAGCUUGCUUUGAGGAAUUCAAACCACCCAAGAAGCACCCUAACUUGUGGGUGGGCGGCUUUAGGAGCUCUGGCGCUAGUUGCUUCCUCUUUUCUGAAAAGGAAGAUGGGCUGCACUGAAGCCCAAUCUGGAUGUUUGAUUGUUGCUCUUCUCCUAGAGUUGAUGGUAAUUCGAAUCCAUAGAAUGAAAAUGAAGGACAUUAACCUUGGAAUUCUUUUAUAUUGUCCAAGAAAUUUGAAGAUGAUCAUGCCUUUAGGUGUCCACUUGUGAACGAUUCAUUGAUUCAAACAAAAAACUUUGUACCCGUCAGGGUGCAGCCUAGUGGUCGACGAGCAGUAAACUUGUACGGUUUGAUUGUGCAUUAGGAUUUCUCCUGGAUUUCUUGAUACUCGGUUCUGGCUGGUGGAGUCUUAGUUUCCGGGGUUUACUCCUCAGGAUAUCACUCCGAAGAGCCUUGCCUUGUAUCAAGUAACAGCUGCAGCCACACGAUAACAAGGAGGUGGAGAGAUGUAGCAUGUAUCAACUAUCAGCCAGUCAUGUGAAAACUAUACGUACUGGUGAUUAUUGGAACUCUUCCUGUAUAUACUCAUGAACUUGGCCACAAAUUCUGCACAAAAGAUACACAAAAUACCAGUGAACUGCCUGUAUACUGGUGAGUGCUCGGAAUAAAUUUCCUCAUGAAGCAGUUCAGAGCAAGCUUAACCCUACAUGUGAGAUGAUAAAUUUAAGCAGCCUCUAGAGAAUAAUCUCAUCCAGGGCAAGAGACUGAAAGUGUUUUGAAGGAUUCAUAAUUGAAAUGCUUCAAACUUAUCUCAAACAAAGAAACUGUCAUUUGCUGUAUAAACUUUCAAGCCAUUUAGUUAUCAGACCUCCUCUCCUUCCCUUAAAAAGAAAAACCUACCUUGCUGGUGAUGGAUCAGCUAGGAUAUCUGCAGCAAGUUCCACUAGGACCUCUUCCCAUCCAAGUGGAAUUGGUUGGUCAUCGACAAAAGGGUAGCUGCACAGUGACAGUGACAGUAUCCUCAGCCAUGAUUGCUUUUCUCAGGUUCUGCUUUGAUUUUGUAGCAAUCUUAGCAGCAAAGCUCAUGGGUAGAUCAAAGUUCUCCUUUCUUGCUAUUUGAAUAAGAACCUCCAUGAUCUGGGAAAUUGGAGGUAUGAAUGAGGAUUAAGAGAAAGUCAGAAGUAUGGAAGAUGGAAACAUUCUAAUGUACAGUGCUUAUUAUUAAACAGUUAGAAUCCAAAAUCAAUCUGAAACUUACUUCAUGAGUAACAGGAGCAUCAACCUUGAUAACUUUGCAGCGGUUUUUCACUGAUUCAAGGAUUUCUACAUCAUCUUCACAGCAGAGUAUGAGUUUACAAGCAUCUGUGUAACAGUCCAUAAUCCAUUUUAUCAAGUGCUGAAGGUUCUGCGCUGCUUUGUCAACCUCAUAGAGGACUAUCACUGAAAGCAAGAAAAAGGAACCAUGUUAGCUUCGAAAGAGCAGGUUAAACCAUCAAGAAAAGUUGUGUACGCGUUUAAAAGAUGAACCUUUGUAAUCUGGUUUGAAAUUAACAUUGCUGACUUCAGGUGUAAUUGCAUAUUUACUGCUUAUGUCCUUGACUAAUCCCAUUAAUGCAUAUCUAGCAUUUGCUUCCAACUUUACAUUGAGCUCCACAUGGUAAGUGCUGGACGUUAAUGGAACCACUACUUGCAUAUGCCUUCUUUCCUGUCAGUAUAUAACACGAGCUCCAGCAUUGAAUUUGGGAGGUAACCACUAAAACUGCUAAUUCGUUAUCGAAUUCAACAAA